GUCUUUGUUAAGUGCUAACUUUAUUGGUUGUUCAUUUGGAGGUUUGAUAAAUGAACAGGGGUUGUAGGGUCAAAGUCGUAAAAACUUUCAAUUUUUGAACAAAAUUGUUACUUCUCUAAGAAUCUUUGAAAAAAAAAAGCCUGACAAAAUUAAAAUUUAGUUGAUUUCAAUUGUGUUUCCCACUGUUUGACCUUUCCCCUGUAUUAAUGUACAUUCAGGACAACGUAAUAUAGAUAUAUACAAACAUAGAAUUCAUGUUUUAAACAUUCAUUUGCAUCAGUGUUGAAAAAAAUGUACUUAUUAUUAUUGUUUGAAAAAUUGGUUUCUAAAAAGUUUUUUUGUAUAUAUACUAUAUUAAAACAAGAUCUGUAUCAACUUAAAGUAAGACUGUAAUUGAUUUGUAUGGAUUACAGUGUAUUUGAUUUUCAGAACAAGUGUGAAAAAUGUUUGUGAAAGUGAUUGAUGUAUGUGAAUGUGGAAGUCGUGUGAACAUGAGCUCACAUUUUAUGUGAAUAAAGUUGUAAAACUGCAGCU
rnacentral:misc_RNA from 1 species